rnacentral:rRNA from 1 species
ACGGAGCGGCGAACGGGUGAGUAACACGUGGGCAACCUGCCCCUAGCUCUGGGACAACUCCUCGAAAGAGGGGCUAAUACCGGAUACGACCUCGGACGACAUCUUCUGAGGUGGAAAGUUUUUCGGCUAGGGAUGGGCCCGCGGCCUAUCAGCUUGUUGGUGAGGUAACGGCCCACCAAGGCGACGACGGGUAGCCGGCCUGAGAGGGCGACCGGCCACACUGGGACUGAGACACGGCCCAG